UACAGAGGUCUCAAGCGUUUGUUCGGAUUCAUUGGGCGUAAAGGGUGUGUAGGUGGCGCGCUAAGUCGGGUGUGAAAUUUCGGAGCUUAACUCCGAAACUGCAUUCGAUACUGGCGUGCUUGAGGACUGGAGAGGAGACUGGAAUUCAUGGUGUAGCAGUGAAAUGCGUAGAGAUCAUGAGGAAGACCAGUGGCGAAGGCGGGUCUCCUGGACAGUUCCUGACACUGAGACACGAAGGCCAGGGGAGCAAACGGG
rnacentral:rRNA from 1 species